GCCAUAGCUCAGUGGGAGAACAUCUACCUUGCAUGCAGGAGGCCCCAGGUUCAAUCCCCAACGUCUGCA